rnacentral:lncRNA from 1 species
CCAUCUCAAAACCACCAAUUCUUACUGCAAGAAGCGAAAGUAAAUAGUUGUUGCAGGAAAACAUGAAGUUUAUCAAGUUUUUUUCUUUUCAAAAUACAAGUGUAUCAAGUUUUAGAUAAGUACCGUAGUACAUAAUAUUAUAGGUUACAACCUGAGCACAAAAGAUGAAAACUUAUUUUGUGCUGGUCAUAUUGUAAGCAAUGUCUGCAGAGGAAGUGUCCAUGUCAUUCAAGUCAAGUUCCUCAUUCUGCUCCCAACUCCUCUCAUAGUCUUCAACUGCCAUUCAUAGUGAUAAAUACAUCGAAUAAGCCAUAAUUGCAGUAAGUUAUGUGCAUUCUUUACUAAUAUAAGAGCGUUUAGAUCACU